rnacentral:rRNA from 1 species
UCGGCCCUGUCGAGAUAGAACCCUUGCCUUUUUGAGUACCUUUCGUUUCCUCGGCAGGCUCGCCUGCCAAUGGGGACCACAAAAAACACUUUGCAGUACCUGUAAUAGUCUGAACAAACAAACAAAAAUUAAAACUUUCAACAACGGAUCUCUUGGUUCUGGCAUCGAUGAAGAACGCAGCGAAAUGCGAUAAGUAGUGUGAAUUGCAGAAUUCAGUGAAUCAUCGAAUCUUUGAACGCACAUUGCGCCCUUUGGUAUUCCUUAGGGCAUGCCUGUUCGAGCGUCAUUUAAACCUUCAAGCUAAGCUUGGUGUUGGGUGACUGUCCGCUUCACUGCGGACUCGCCUCAAAAUUAUUGGCGGCCGGUACAUUGGCUUCGAGCGCAGCAGAAACGCGAACUCGGGCCCGUCGUAUUGGCUCCCAGAAGCUAUCUUCACAAUUUUGACCUCGGAUCAGGUAGGGAUACCCGCUGAACUUAAGCAUAUCAAUAGCCGGAGGAAA